AGUCAAGUAAUUAAGUGCAUGUGGUGGAUGCCUUGGCAGUCAGAGGCGAUGAAAGACGUGAUAGCCUGCGAAAAGCUCCGGGGAGGCGGCAAAUAUCCUUUGAUCCGGAGAUUUCUGAAUGGGGGAACCCACCUACUUUAAGGUAGGUAUUGCAACAUGAAUACAUAGUGUUGCAAGGCGAACGAGGGGAAGUGAAACAUCUCAGUACCCUUAGGAAAAGAAAUCAAUUGAGAUUCCCUCAGUAGCGGCGAGCGAACGGGGAUCAGCCCAUUAAGUUAUGUGUGUUUUAGUGGAACGCUCUGGGAAGUGCGAACGUAGAGGGUGAUAUUCCCGUACACGAAAGGGCACACAUAAUGAUGACGAGUAGGGCGAGGCACGUGAAACCUUGUCUGAAUAUGGGGGGACCAUCCUCCAAGGCUAAAUACUCCUGACUGACCGAUAGUGAACCAGUACCGUGAGGGAAAGGCGAAAAGAACCCCUGUGAGGGGAGUGAAAUAGAUCCUGAAACCGCAUGCAUACAAGCAGUGGGAGCACCUUCGUGGUGUGACUGCGUACCUUUUGUAUAAUGGGUCAGCGACUUAUAUUCAGUAGC
rnacentral:rRNA from 1 species